CCAAAGCACGGCGCNGAAGACGCCAAGAUGGCCGCCACCACCCCAGGGAC
rnacentral:tRNA from 1 species